UGAAGGGGUUAAAAUAGUGAAGACUGUGGCCAUUAAUCUUGUGACCCUUCCUAAUGUCAAUAAAAUGGUCUAAUGGUACACAAAACUCAAGGUAAAAAUGUGUCCCAGUACUGAAGGGGUUCAACACUCAAAUAAACAUGAAUCAGCUGACAUAAGACUUGACACAGACAAAAUAAAGCAUUCUACACAUUUACAACACCAGAAUAAAUAGAUAAAUGAAUAGAUAAACUUAAAAACCACAUUGUAACCACAUUUUUAUACGUUUAAACACAAAAAUAAACUGGAAUCAGCUGACAUGACGCUGCCCAGACCGAGACCUCUCCCUUCCCUUGCCUUCCCUCGCCGCCUCCCCGCCACAGCCCCGCCAUCUGUUUUAUCCACUUAUCUGCCUCUCCACACACCUGCCAGCGUCACCACAGCGGGUAUAGAGGCGCAGGUGUGUGGUGCAGGUGUGGGCGCACUGUACAGAGUGCGUGAUGUCCCAGGAGGUUGGGGGUGGAGGGCUGAGGAGGGAGGCAUUCUGGUCCUUCAGGAGGUGCUGGCCGGAACACUGUGGGACUAACGUGAAUGACCGCCCCCCACCUGUCCAGCCUCCAUUUGGUUACCUCCAUAUUUCUCCUCCAUGUCUCCUCCACCUUUCCUCCAAUUUUGACUAUCUCAUCUCCUUUCCUUCAUAGUUAAAAUAGUCUUUUUGUAAGAUCAACUUUUUCCUCUCCACAGCCUCCAGUUCUUUCCUCCAUAUCUCCCUCCACAGGUUACCUCCACAUUUCUCCUCCACCCCAGUCCUUCCUCCAUGUCUCCUCCACCUUCCCUCCAAUUUUGACUAUCCCAGCUCCUUUCCUUCAUAGUUAAAAUAGUCAAUUUGUAAGAAUAAAACCAGGGUGUGAUCUGAGGGACACAUUUUUAUUGAGGGGUGUAUUCUAAGCAGGAGUUAUGAAUUAAAGAACCUUCAGUGUUAUAGAGGCAAACACACUAACAGACAACCGGAGGGGUGCAGGAGGGGAGAGAGAGAGAGAGAGAGAGAGAGAGAGAGAGAGAGAGAGAGAGAGAGAGAGA